rnacentral:lncRNA from 1 species
AGAACUUCCUUGGCAACUGGAUGGAUGGAUCUAUCUAUCAAAUGUCAAGGCUCCAAAUUAAAGAGUACCCUGAAUUGGAUGGCUCCUGUCUCUGUACAUCAAGUUUUAAGAAUUCCUUUCUGAAAUAUCAUGCUCUGCCAAUCGGAGGACCCAGAGAGAAUUAACAGAUCCUGCUUCUGCUACAUUAAAAAAACACAACCAUUUAUAGGUAUGUACAUUCCUGUUUUCAUUUUUUGUCUCUUUUUAAUUAUGAUAGGUGCCA